rnacentral:lncRNA from 1 species
GAAAAUUGAGGCUCCUGAAUUCUGGCAAUUGGAUCUCAACCCAUGGCAGAACAGCUUCCAGAUGUCUUUGCUGAGGCGACUUCUGAAAUAGAUAUAUCAACACAAUGGAUAUCCAGGAGCAUGGAUCAAAUUAAACAUAUAGUAUAAACAAUAAUACAACUAAUUAUCAAACUGUGAUUUGCUUGUUUGAAUGUGAUACAUAUUAGCGGUAGCAUGAUGAUGUAAAUCUCUUCAUGUUUCCCCUUCAUUCAAAUCAAGCACAGCCAAUGUUAUGAAUGAAUAAUUUAAGCCUUCGUCAUAUUUCUAGUCUAAAUAAGAAGAGAAUGAUUUCAGAAUCAGUUGUUCAGCAGAAACGGCCAUCUGUUUGUGGGUGCAAUUAUAUUUUCCUCUCAAGUUUCAUUGUGAAUUUUCUCAUUACUUGAUAAAUAUCAGGGCUCUAUGUGGAGAUGUUUGAUUCAUCCAAUGAGAUUAGCAGAACUGAAUUGUGUUAUGUUGUGGAGUUAGAGGAGCUCCUUGCCAGUGCUGAAAAGGAUAUGUGUGCUUGUGUUCAGCACACACAUACACACAUACACAAACAAACAAACAUACACACACUUAAACAGAGACUUCAGUUUAGAAUCAUGCCCUUUGCUAUCACAUUUUCAGGUAUUACAAUACAUGAAUUUGGUUUGAUAUAACUUGUUUGGAUAAAUAACAGCUUAAUUGACUAUACUACCUCAAAAGAACUCUGUGGCAGACCCACAAUUUUUGCAUUUUCUUAUUUGCACCCUGCUUUGCUUAUAAUAUUGGAUGAAAUCCCAAUUCCUAUUGUGUUACUAGUGCAAGCUAAAUAAUUAUUAAAGAGGGCACAAAUAACCAAGUCUGUUGUGGGAAAAUAUUAUUGUAGUUAUUCUUCCCAAAAGGUUAUCCUUCCAAAUUCCCAAAUAUUUUUUCAUGGUUAAUUAUGUUAGCAUUUUAUAUCAAUGUAAAUGUAUGAGAUGGAUAAAGUUUUGGAUCAGGAAAGCUACUCCAAUUGGGAGUGAACAUGGUGAGUAGAGACUGAGAGAAUGACUGAAAUGCUGCAUCUUUUCCUUGCCUGUCAAACAUAGUGGUCCUUUACCUUGUAGUGUACAAUCCUUUCAUUGACCCUUGGACUGUCCUAAAGAAAUAAUAAAUACUGUUUGAAGAAUUGUGUGUUGUAGUUUGGAAAGUUGUAUUGCAUUUCAGAAAGCCCAGAUUUUGUGUUUAAUUUUAUUUAAAGAAAAUACAUUGCAUUAAAAUUUAAAGUAUGUGGAGAAGCAUGCUUAGUGACUUUUAUGACUAUGUCCAUUUUACUUAAAAUAAGAUGUGUGUGUGUGUGUAAUAAUAGAACAUUGAUAUAUGAUUAUUUUAAAUUUAUUCUGUUUAUAAAUAAUAUUUAUAAACUCCUUUUUGUCCCCAGCAAGGGUCCCCAGGGCAGUACUAUAUACAAAAACAAAACAUUAAAAUCUAACUUUAAUAAAUCAUGUUUAGAACAAAUACUGUGAAUGUGACAUGGAAACAAUAUUUGCUUGGACUGCCAUUGUGCUUUCUUCUAGAGGCACGGAGAAGCAGAGAGUAAAAUUCCCUUUGGCUGUAAUUGUAGCUCAUUUUGGCUUUAAAAAACAGGUUUCUUAUUUUUCAACAUUAUGUAUUAUUCUAGGAAUUUAUGUAUAGUAAAUGUCACAGUGUAACUGACAGUCUUCUAUUAUGUGUUUGGUUUUUAUUUAGUAAAUGUCUUCUAAAGUCCUAUCAGUCCAGAGAGCAAUUCGGCCAGAACAUACGAUGACACCACAAGUGAAAUGAGGCAGUGAUCCGUAAUGGGCAUCAGUCACCAGUGAAAUUACACUGUCCCUCAUUGAAUGGCAGUUUGUCAUUCAUGUGGAGAAAGUGAGGUCCCAGAGAAAGUUCUCAGUCCUUUAGACAUUUCCAGUAAGUAGGUAGUUACUGGUAUGAGUCUUUUAAAUUAACAUAUGCCUCUCUUAUAAUACCUAUUAAAUGAAACUCUAAUGUAAGUACUCUGAGUCAACAUGAGGUUAGAAAAGCACUGGUGGGGGGUUAUUAGGGGGAAAAUUAAUAAAACACUUGAUUGGAUUUAAAUUGUAGCAAAUGUUGGGGUUAGUAAAUUUUUCUUUUACUGACAGCUAAAGUAUCCUUUGUUGUUGUUGUUGUUUCUAUCCCACCCUUUUUCUCAAAGGAGCCUAGGGUGGCAAACAAUAAUAAUAAUAAUAAAUGUAUGUUUUUAUGUGUGUCUACACACACAAGUAAAUCACCUGAGAAAAUCUGAAAACAUUCAAAACAGUCACAUGCCUUCAUAGCUAAUAAUACCAAUGGUGCAGUGAAUGUAAUGUUGAAACCGGGCUAUAUUGCAUUUAAUGUAUAUGAGAUUUCCCGUAUCUCCCCCAACUCCUGCCACCGUGGCUGAUGGAUGUCAAAGUCAGACAUUCUGUGUGUGGUUUUUAUUUUUCAACUUUGCAUCCAGCCCUCUACCAAAUGGUGCUAUAAAGGUUGCUAUAUAAAUGCAGCAUGGUUAAAUUAAAAUUACAUUCUAUGUGCAAUAAGGGAAGCUGAAGGGACUUGAGCCCAAGUCCAUUGUUACUGCAUGGACAUCUGGCCGCUGACUAGAUUCUUUGAAUGAUGCCAUAUAACUUUCUAGUUUGCAGGUUCAUAUGCUGGCUAAAGAAAUUUCACAGUUUGAUAUUUUCCUUUUUUAAAAAAAAAAUUCACAAACUAAUAGUCGCUUCAUAUGUACACCUUGGGGCUUAUUUUUCUUGUGAUGGUCCUCACAAGAUAAAAUGGUGCAUAUUUAUUUUUAUCAAUAUAUAUUUGCUUAAUAAGGCCAUAGAAAAAACAUACAAACAGAAACAUAGUUGUUCUUCAGUUAUUUCCCUAUCUGUUUUGCACUAGUCAAAUUGCCUGAUGUGAGGGCACACCAAAGAGCAAAACAAACCUAGAAUACAUGUUCAAAGUUGUUCCGAACUUUCCAUUGUUAAUGUUCAGAGGGUUGUGAGCACUGUUUACUAGACAUGCCAACAGACUUUGCCAGGCUUGGGUCUGGAAAUAAGGUAAAGGUAAAGGUACCCCUGCCUGUACGGGCCAGUCGUGUCCGACUCUAGGGUUGUGCGCCCAUCUCACUUAAGAGGCCAGGGGCCAGCACUGUCCAGAGACCCUUCCGGGUCACAUGGCCAGCGUGACGAAGCUGCUCUGGCGAGCCAGCACCAGCGCAGCACACGGAAACACCGUUUACCUUCCCGCUAUAAAGCGGUACCUAUUUAUCUACUUGCACUUAAGUGUGCUUUCGAACUGCUAGGUGGGCAGGAGCUGGGACCGAAAGACGGGAGCUCACCCCGCCGCAGGGAUUCGAACCGCCGACCAUACGAUCGGCAAGUCCUAGGCACUGAGGUUUUACCCACAGCGCCACCUGCGUCCCGGGUCUGGAAGUACUGUUUGUUUAAGUCGAUCUCAAACUUGAGGCAGACAUAACAGGUCUUCAAACUCUAUUCCUGCUUGCUUAUUUAAAAUUGCAUAUAUUGCUUUCCUAAAACUCUUACGGCGGCUAACAGAAAAUAAAUUAAUAAAUUAACAAUUUAAGACAGCAGCAGAAAAUAACAACAGUCCCAAAGAAGAAUUAUUUGGAUACUACAUUCUGGAUAAGUUGUACUUUCAGAGUACCAUUUAAAGAUAAUUUGGUGAAGAAUGUGUUACAGUAAUUCAGAUAUGAUGCAACUAAGGCAUAUAACACCAUGGCAAGAUCUGUCUUGUCUAGAAGCAGGCAAGUUAAGUGCACCAGCCCCAACUGAACACAACCAGCAACUGGAAACCGAGGGCCGAAAACCAUUACAGAGGAAUCUCCAAACUAUGAACUGGCGUUACUGACCAUGAAAACCUGUGUCUUGUCUGGAAUAACACGCUCACACACCCAGUCCAUUGCCUUCUCCAGACUUUAGUUUAGGACUUGCAGACCCUGAAGUGACAUGGACAGAUGAAAUAGUUGAGAGUUGUCAUGUAUCAAGGGUGCCAACUUGAAUAAAAUAAUGGGGGGGGGGGUAAGCACCGCCCUGGAUAAUCAAUCACAAGAUUCAGCACAUGCAGCCCAUUUUAAUGACAAUGUCCAUCAACUUGGGGUGGCCCCCUCAAGUAUUUUAUUGGAGGGGGCUGAACGAACCUUGGCCCCUAGGAUUUGGCUUCUAUGAUACCACAAAUUUAUGGUGUCAAACUCCAAAUUUCUAAGUGACCUCAUCCUGUGGUUUGAUGUAGGUGUUAAAGAGCAUGGAAAACAAAAUUUAAUCCUGUGGGAUUCUAGUACCACUUUCUGGGGCCUCAUGGAAAUGUGACACAUCCUAAUAGGACCUCCAACAUACUUCCUCCCUUCCUAGAAGGAGGGGUGUGUAAGGUUUUCUCCCUCCUUUUCCUCCACAUAAUAGCAGCAUAUUAGGGAGCAAAAUGCAGGGUCUGAUGGGAGAAGGAAGUUCUCCCUAGACUUCUGGCAGCAGACUUAGGGAGAACAUAUUCCAUCAGCUACCAAAAAAAAAAGGCUAAGGAGAGGGUAUUAUCUUUCAACUUCCCGUGCAUUCUAGCUGAUGAUCCUACAUCUUCUUACAAGAUCAAUGAAGAGAAAGCAGGGGAACUGGCAGGAGGUAGUUGGUGGUGGCCUUCCCCCCCACCCAAGACCACCAUUUUGACUUUGAAAAAUGAUCUGUGGUUUUCCACGUUUGGGGGAAUUAACUCUGAAUUAAAGAUUUGAGUAAGAUCUUUCUAAAGUUCCCUAAUUUCUUAGGGUUUUAAACUUCGGAAACCAUUUUUUAAAUGAGGAAAUACAUAUUUUCAUUUUUAUUUCCAUAUUGAAUUGGAGUGAUUGAUAUGAUGAGUGCCUACACUGACCAUCCAGUAUUUAGAAAUGGGUUGCGGGAAUGGAGUUGAAAAAUUGCAGUAAUAAACCUUUUCUCAUUCUAGUAAUUUUCAUCACAAUGUUGCCAAUUUCCUUUUGGUUCUGCAGUUUCUAAUAUGCAAACAUUCAUUUGUGUUGUGAAUACCAGAUGAUAAGUGAGGAAAUGGUGGUUCAAACUUAAUUUAUUUGUUCCUGCAUAAAUAUUACUCCUUUUUUGUACCUACAAAUCUUCCUUUUUAACGUUUGUUUCCUAAGGCCACAUUCAAGAGUAAUUGUCAUGCUUAGUGUAGUAGCACAAUCAUGUAGGCAGGUUUACAUGUAACCAUUUAUGGGCCCUUGCCAGGCCCAUUCAUGUUUAUAUUAUGGUGCAUGUGCCAUUAACAAAGUUCAUGUUCUGUUCAUUUGGCAAUUUGCCAACAAACCAAGAGACUCUUCAGGGGUUAUUUGGUGUGUGUUUAUUUGUGCGAGAAAUAUAAAAAUGACAGUUUAUCUAUUAAACAUAGCUCAUCAAUAUGCACAGUGUAUCCCACAGCUAAUCUUUUCAAGGAAUUAAAGGGAAUUCAAAAGAGAGAUUAUAAUGUGUAAACAAUGGUGGUUUAGAUAUCUUGCCUACUGGCCUAAGGUCUCUCCAUAGAUCCUGCCGAGUUUACCUUCUGUAUCAGUAGUUAAUUAAGGUGAAACAUGAGGUAAUUAGGGCUAAUCCCAGUGCUAUCCUGCUGGCCUAUUGCCUCUCAGGCCAUCCCCCAAACCAAAAUCCUUUUUCACAGCUUGUGAAAUGUUGCCAUUCUUUCAACACAUUUUAAAAAAUUGAUGACCAUAUAAACAUUGCAUUUAAUAAUUUGAGUAAAAUGCUCAUGAUGAUAGGGGAAGAAAGGAAUAUAAAAUAUUCCAAAAGUGAGAAAACAGCAGUGCUAAACAAACAAAAACAAAACCCCCUUGAAACAAUUGCAAGCUGGGAUGUUUUCCCCUGUAAAGGUCAAGAAUUCGGAUAUUUUGUUUUCUGUCCAUACUUUUCCCAAUAGCUUUCAUUUUAAAAAAAUAUAUAUAUCUUGAAGGAAUUGCCAUGUGUUUCAUGUGAGCUUUAUAUCCAGUGCUAUAUUGUUACAAAAGGAAUGGUUUUCUAUUACAUUUGUUACCCAUCCUCCCAAAAAGAGAGAGAAUGCAGUCCUAUGCUUGGAAGAGCAGAAUCCAUGAGAGGACCUUUUAAGCAAUUAAAUGCAUUAUAUAUAAACACUUAAUUUAAAGCCGAUACUACAAUAAGCAGUACUUCUGGAGCACAUUUUUUGUAGAAUUAGUUUUGAAGCCUACUGGAAAAAUCAUGAGUCACCUAAUUACACUCAGUUCUUUAAAAUUAGCAUGUAGAGUCUGUUAGGAUAUAUUCUCCGUUCCACCAUUAAGGUGGAACAGAAAUAUCCUAACAUCCUCCCCCUUUCCGUGUAACCUGUAGUACCUGUGCUACAGGUCUACAUAUGCAAUAUUAAUAACUUUAAUAAGCAGUAUACAAACAAAAAAAGAUAAUGACAGGUAAAAUGUUGAAAUCUAAUUUACAGAUAUGUCCUGUGGUUUACACACAUUGUGGUGUACCAUAUACUGGAAAGUGAUAUCUGUAUUGCGGUAAGAGGCUCAGGCUAAUAACCCCUUAAGCCCCCUCCCAUUUUGAACAACUUUGAGCCUUACUGCAGCUCUGCCUCCUCCCCGUUUAUUUUGUAGAUAGACCAGAAGCUGCACUUAAACCCUGAUCUAAUGGUUUUGAGAAAAGGGAGGGUUCAUGAGUUGUUGCCUAGUAACCACGGGACAUGGUCCUAAUGCCUUUCUGGCUGAUGGGCUCUGAAAAGUGCCAUCAGGGACACCUGGCAUUUUAUCUGCAUGUCAUACUUCAAAUUCUGGCAUGUUGAACCUCUGUCCAUUUUGUCCAAUGUGCUUCGAUAGUAUAGCCUUGAAAUAGACAUGUUUUUGUUUAAUUGGCAUCAAAUGCUACUUUUGCUUAAUAUAUAUAGCUUGUUCUGAAGGUGGCAGCUAUUUGCUUUUAAAUAUAAGCUUUAAUGUUUGUUUGUUUUUGAUUACAUUAAUCUUCACUUCUUGAGUGGAAUAAAGUGUUAUUGGAACAAGAAUUGUAUGUGACAUAUUUUGGUGAAAAAUAUGUCACAUUUAGUAGAAAAUAAAUGGGGCAAAAUUAUUGUUGUGUACAUCACUGCUGCUGCCGCCAAAGUUCUCUGUCUAAACAGACAAACCUUGUGUUUAAUUUGUGACUAAAAUCUCAUUUCUCCUAUGCCAACAUAACUUCUAUGCUACAUAGCACUGCUACUAUGGGAGCCCUAUGGACUAUAUUGUAGUUACGGGGGGAAACGGGUUUUCUUUCCACUGGAUAUUGGUUUUGUUCCUUUAAUAGUAUAUGGCUAUUUAUUUAAAAAGUCGGGGGGGGGGAUUGGUGGAGUAUUUCUCUUUGCAUAAAUGCAAAGAGGAUUUGCAGCAGGACAUUUAGAAAUGCAUUGUAUGAGGUUUGCUAUUGAUCCCCCACAGUGGGGAUGAGUGCUCAGAGAGAAUAAAUGGGCCACUUUUAUGAGGCUCCUUGUCAUCAUGGAUUUAGCUGUUUCAUUUGCAGAUUCCUGUAAAUGUUUAUUUGAUUCAUGGCCGGUAAUUUUCCAUUGGAUAGAGAAUCGACAUAUCGUCAGCAAAUGACUGUAUGUCAUUAAUACUUUCAAGUGGCGCCUGAAAAUGUUCACACAGUUCCAUUGAUUCAAACUGUCUCCUCUUCCCCACUACCUGAGCUUCUUGUUCAGUUCUCUGGAAGCCAGUGUCAGACAAAAGUUUGAAAGUAGUGGCAGCUGCUUGAAAUAAGUCUACCUGGUCACUCAUAUUUGUUAAUAUUGCUGUGUUACAUGAGUAUAAGGAAGGAAAAGGAGUGUGCUGCAUUUAUUUAGUACUUUUCCUUAUGAAAUGUACACUUUUAAUAUUUUUCAAACAGUAAAGAACACCAUCACCAUACCUAUCUCAAGUCUUUGAGCAUUGACACUUGUAUAGUCAAAGCCACAAAACCCAUUCACAAAAGAGAGGCAUUGGAGAAUUUGGGGUAACUAUGAGGUUUGCAGAAGUACAAGAAAUAUUUUUUGGGGAAACCCUAAUAGGGGAGGGACCACCAAAAAAACCUCUAUGAAUACUGAGCAUGGUCUGUGCCCAUGGAAUGCUGAUUACUGGGAGGUGAAAAAUGGGAAAACCAAUGUGGAGUGGCUAGAAAAGGAGAAUGGUAAGAUAGAUAGAUUGAUGAGAGAGAGAGAGAGAGAGAGAGAGAGAGAGAGAGAGAGAUACACACACACUAGAGAGAACCAUGCCAUUAUCUGGACAGAUGUUUCAGUUCCUGGAUGCUGAAAACCCAGAAGUAAAUACUUCCAUUUUCAAACGUUUUUCAGAAGCCAAACAUGUGACGUGGCUUCCGCUGAGUGCAAGAAGUGGGAAGCCAUGCCUCCGUUUCCAAACGUUUCGGAAGCCAAAAGGGCUUCCGGAAUGGAUUUCGUUCGAGAACCGAGGUACCACUGUAUAGAGUUAUAUGUUCCAAAUUGCAACACCUACUGGUGUUCUCUUUUAAUCUUAUAGUCUAAUAUUCACUUUUGUUAAGCCCCAUUGUUCAGACUUGAUAAUCUAGGGAUUUUGGAAAUCUAAGAAACUUUUUUGUGGGCACUAUAAAAUACCCAUUUCACAGACAAAAACUGGUGAUGGUAAAAAAACCUCCCUCCCCUAAAAAAAAGUCACCAUACCCAUGCCCCCAAAACAAAUAAGAUACAAAAGAAGAAACAGCAGACAACUCCCAGACAGAUAGACAACCCCACCCCCAACCAAACAACUUCUCCAAAAGCAAAACAACAUUUUUUGAAAAAUGUGAGGAACAGAAUUCAGAGACAAUUGUGGGUGCCAUGGAGGGUUUUUUUCUGAAGGCGCUGUGGUGCCUAGAAGUGCUACAUUGGGGGCCCCAGAACUAAUAUAAUGUAGUGUUGUUGUUUUGUGGUAUCCUGAAGAGCUUGUAGAAGAAAAUGACAUAACCCAAAUUACACACUAUCCUCAAAGCCAAGUCUUUGGUACCAUUUUAAAAAUGUACAUUCAAGAUCAUAAUGUGUACAGAAAUCUCAGCUACGUGGUGUUAAAAAAUACGUAUUAUGCAGCAAAAGGAGGGAGUAGAAACAUUCCAUGUUCUCACUUCAGUUCAAUCAGCUCUAGAAUGCAC